UAUUGGGCGUAAGAGCUCGUAGGCGGUUUGUCGCGUCUGCUGUGAAAUCCCGAGGCUCAACCUCGGGCUUGCAGUGGGUACGGGCAGACUAGAGUGCGGUAGGGGAGAUUGGAAUUCCUGGUGUAGCGGUGGAAUGCGCAGAUAUCAGGAGGAACACCGAUGGCGAAGGCAGAUCUCUGGGCCGUAACUGACGCUGAGGAGCGAAAGCGUGGGGAGCGAACAGGAUUAGAUACCCUGGUAGUCCACGCCGUAAACGUUGGGCGCUAGAUGUAGGGACCUUUCCACGGUUUCUGUGUCGUAGCUAACGCAUUAAGCGCCCCGCCUGGGGAGUACGGCCGCAAGGCUAAAACUCAAAGGAAUUGACGGGGGCCCGCACAAGCGGCGGAGCAUGCGGAUUAAUUCGAUGCAACGCGAAGAACCUUACCAAGGGCUUGACAUACACCGGAAACGGCCAGAGAUGGUCGCCCCCUUGUGGUCGGUGUACAGGUGGUGCAUGGUUGUCGUCAGCUCGUGUCGUGAGAUGUUGGGUUAAGUCCCGCAACGAGCGCAAACCCUCGUUUUAUGUUGCCAGCGCGUUAUGGCGGGGACUCAUAGGAGACUGCCGGGGUCAACUCGGAGGAAGGUGGGGGAUGACGUCAAAUCAUCAUGCCCCUUAUGUCUUGGGCUUCACGCAUGCUACAAUGGCCGGUACAAAGGGCUGCGAUACCGUAAGGUGGAGCGAAUCCCAAAAAGCCGGUCUCAGUUCGGAUUGAGGUCUGC
rnacentral:rRNA from 2 species